CCAACUUGGCACUUUGGAAUUGUCACAAGGUAAAUUGUGACAGUUACCAGGUGCCAAACCGG
rnacentral:pre_miRNA from 1 species